CUCAUAGGUGGAAGAAACUCAUCUCCGGAAUGCAGACCCUGAGACAAAGGUCAGAGGACACACACAUGAAUGGAGGUGGCCACGGCAAACACCAGCAGAGGAGUGAAGAAGUGAGGCAGCGGAGGGAAGGAUGCCAAGAAUGGAGGUGUCAUCGAACCAGUUACCUCUGGGGAGCUCAGGGAGCCAGAUGAGGAAAGCCUGGUGCGGUGGCUCACGCCUGUAAUCCCAACACUUUGGAAGGCUGAGGCGGGCAGACCACCUGAGGUUGGAAGUUCGAGACUAGCCUGACCAACAUGAAGAAACCCCGUCUCUGCUAAAAAAAAAAAUACAAAAUUAGCCAGGCAUGGUGGCGCAUGCCUGUAGUCCCAGCUACUUGGGAGGCUGAGGCAGGAGAAUCGCUUGAACUCAGGAGGCAGAGGUUGCAGUGAGCUGAGAUUGCACCAUUGCACUCCAGCCUGGACAACAAUAGCAAAACUCUGUCUCAAAAAAAAAAAUAGAUAAAU
rnacentral:lncRNA from 1 species